rnacentral:rRNA from 1 species
AACGAACGCUGGCGGCAUGCCUAACACAUGCAAGUCGAACGGUGCUUUCGGGCAUAGUGGCGCACGGGUGCGUAACGCGUGGGAAUCUGCCCCUUGGCUCCGAAUAACAGUUAGACAUGACUGCUAAUGCAGGAUGACGACCUCAGACCAAAGAUUUAACGACGAGGGAUGAGCACGCGUAGGUUUAGCUAGUUGGUGUGGUAAGGGCGCAUCAAGGCGAGGAUCCUUAGCUGGUCUGAGAGGAAGGGCAGCGACACUGGGGCUGAGACACGGCGCAGACUCCUACGGAAGGCAGGAGUGGGGAAUAUAGUACAAUGGGCUAAGUCCUGAUCCAGCUAUGCUGCGUGAGUGAUGAUGGCCUUAGAGAUGUAAAGCUCUUUUACCCGGGGUGAUAAUGACGGUACCGAAAGAAUAAGCUCCGGCUAACUCCGUG